UACGUAGGGGGCUAGCGUUGUUCGGAUUUACUGGGCGUAAAGCGCACGUAGGCGGAUUGUUAAGUCGGGGGUGAAAUCCUGGAGCUCAACUCCAGAACUGCCUUCGAUACUGGCAAUCUCGAGUCCGGAAGAGGUGAGUGGAACUCCUAGUGUAGAGGUGGAAUUCGUAGAUAUUCGGAAGAACACCAGUGGCGAAGGCGACUCGCUGGACAAGUAUUGACGCUGAGGUGCGAAAGCGUGGGGAGCAAA
rnacentral:rRNA from 1 species